AAGAUCAAAGAGUAUUAAUAUAGGUUAUGUUAGCUGUCAGUGUCAAAGUUGUGUUUUAUCAAUUUUUCAAUCAAAUUAGUUUUUUUUUCAAUUGAAGUGAUUGAAUUUGUUUAAACAGAGUUUUUUUUACUUUUAUAUUAUGUUCAAAUACAAUAAUAGGUUUCUUAAAUCAAUAAUUUCAAUUGAAUCAAUCUUAUAACUGGAUUUGAGGAGGACUAAUUCAACUGUUAUUUUGGGAUCUUAUUUCCUGUUAGUAUGGAAAUAAUUUUAUCAUCCACCAAAAAUGGCAGAAAAUAGUAACGUUCAGCUUUUUCCACCAUGCGACAUAAAAUAUGCAUGGUGUCCGACUUCUUCUACCCAAACAUGGGUGGAGUUGAGGAGCAUAUAUUCAAUCUAUCACAAUGUCUCCUUCUUAGAGGACAUAAAGUUAUUGUCAUGACACAUGCUUAUGAGGACCGUAUUGGAGUUCGAUAUAUGACUAAUGGUCUCAAGGUGUAUUAUCUUCCGAUGAAAACAUUCUACAAUCAGUGCGUACUGCCAACCUGCAUCAGUGCUCUGCCCCUGAUUCGCUACGUGUUCCUCAGAGAGCAAGUAACCAUCGUUCAUGGUCAUUCGGCUUUCUCGGCGUUGGCUCACGAGGCUUCGAUCAUCGCUCGACUGCUUGGCAUCAAGACCAUUUUCACGGAUCAUUCCCUUUUUGGAUUUGCUGAUACAUCGGCGAUAAUCACGAACAAACUGCUGGAACUUUCGUUAGCCGAUUGUAAUCACUGUAUAUGUGUAUCACAUAUAGGCAAAGAGAACACGGUACUGAGGGCUCGAGUCAAUCAUGAGCGGGUGUCUGUAAUCCCAAAUGCUGUUGACACAACCGUCUUCACUCCUCAGCCAGAAAACCGCAAAAAAGAUGCAAUUACUAUUGUUGUCGUCAGUCGACUCGUUUACCGGAAGGGUAUUGACCUGCUGGCCCAAAUAAUCGUAGACAUCUGCCAAAAAUAUAAAACAAUUGAGUUUGUGAUUGGCGGGGAUGGUAGCAAACGUGCAUUAUUGGAGGAGACGUGUGAACGUCAUGGACUGACCUCUAGAGUUGAGAUUCUAGGCAGUCUUGCUCACUCUCAAGUCCGCAACGUUCUAACAAGGGGCCACAUAUUCCUCAAUACAUCUUUGACUGAGGCUUAUUGCAUGGCUAUUGUUGAAGCUGCAUCUUGCGGGCUACAGGUAGUCAGUACAAGAGUUGGCGGGAUUCCUGAAGUUCUUCCACCUGAACUAAUUUACUUGACUGAACCCAAUGUUCCAUCUUUGUUAGCUGGCCUGGAGAAAGCAAUAGCGGACUUGGAGAGUGGAAUGGUAGUCUCUCCUAUCGAAUGUCAUCUCAAGGUCAAAGCACUCUACAACUGGAUGAAUAUCACUGAACGCACUGAGAAAGUUUACAAUUUGGUCGUCGGAGAACCAGUCAAAGAUUUAACUGCUCAACUACAGAGGUGCUUAUGAUUACCUGUCACCUGAUGGCAAAAUGUCAACCGGCAUGUUCCUGUUCACUGUGCUGAUAUGUUUCUUGUACCUCAUGCUACGAGCUCUCGAAUGGCUUGUACCACGAAAUGAAAUUGAUUUGGCAAGAGAUUUCAACAGACAAGAGAGGGAAUCGCCAGCUCACAAGCGCAGACGCAGUGAAUAAUGAAUAAACAUUCAUUGAUUCAUGAUUCAUCAAAGAAAAACGACAUUCACAAAAUUGGUGCCAAAGAAUUGUCUUCUAUGAAAACAUUAGCAUUUAAACUCUGUAAUUAAGAUCUUUUGUUAAGGAAAUUGUAUGAAAAAAUCAAUUGUUUAUUACUUGUUCCUAAUUUUGGAAUUUUACUGUACAGAUUUUAAAUUUGUUACUGAAAUACAUUUUACCCAUUUUGGUGGUCAA